UGGAUGUGGCUGUUGAUGUUAUGUUAGAGAUAAAUGGUUUUACUAAUGGUAGUGAUGUGCGAGGAGGAAAAAUGAGUGGAACAUUUUGUUGGCACUUGGUAUGCUAUUUCCUAUUACAAUCUUGAUCAUAAAAUUCAUUGUUAGCCAGAACAUCUACUUGGUGGAUCAAGUGGACAUUUCCAUCAUCUUUGACUAUUGGAGUAGUUGAAAGAAGAUUUAUGGUCUCUUGGACUGCACCGCUGCAAAUUGUUUUAGUCCCAGGC
rnacentral:lncRNA from 1 species